rnacentral:rRNA from 1 species
CGGCGGACGGGUGAGUAAUGUCUGGGAAACUGCCUGAUGGAGGGGGGUAACUACUGGAAACGGUAGCUAAUACCGCAUAACGUCGCAAGACCAAAGAGGGGGACCUUCGGGCCUCUUGCCAUCGGAUGUGCCCAGAUGGGAUUAGCUAGUAGGUGGGGUAAAGGCUCACCUAGGCGACGAUCCCUAGCUGGUCUGAGAGGAUGACCAGCCACACUGGAACUGAGACACGGUCCAG